rnacentral:rRNA from 1 species
UGCGAAGGGGGCUAGCGUUGUUCGGAUUUACUGGGCGUAAAGCGCGUGUAGGCGGGUCGUUAAGUUGGGGGUGAAAUCCCGAGGCUCAACCUCGGAACUGCCUUCAAAACUGGCGACCUGGAGCAAGAUAGAGGCAAGUGGAAUUGCGAGUGUAGAGGUGAAAUUCGUAGAUAUUCGCAGGAACACCAGUGGCGAAGGCGACUUGCUGGAUCUUUGCUGACGCUGAGACGCGAAAGCGUGGGGAGCAAACAGG